UCCCCAGGGAGGCCGUAGUCCGCAGUAAACAACUACCGAGGAAUGAAGCAGAACUCCAGACGGAUUCCAGGAAGGAACCUCGUCAUGCUCUCGAAAGGACUCCUAGAGGCCCCGGAUGUUCCCUAUCUCCUUCUGUACUGUUGACACCUGAUCAACCUUAAAAUGCUGCCGAACCUAUUGAUGAAUUCCAGUCCUCCCCAAAAACCCCAUAUCAAUUUCAGCUAUCUCAUCCCCAAGAGCCUGUGGAGAGGCCAGCAGCCCAUCGUGAGAUAAUCAGACGGGGGCCUGCCCAUCCUCAGUCUUUCACUUUGUCAACACUGAGACUUGUGGCUCCUGUGUGCUGUGCUGAGCUCCAAGGACGCAGAGAACGCUGGUCCCAUGUGGAGGAGAGCAUGGGUCCAAGACUGUGGCACCACCACCAGGCUGUAGGUCCCAAGGAAGCCCUGUGUUGUAUUUGUAACUGUA